rnacentral:lncRNA from 1 species
AUGUUAGGUGAUAACAGAACUUUCUCUUUCUUCUAGCAGGAGGAAGUUGCAAUUGAACUCAUCUUCCCAGAGCCCAGAGUGGUUUUCUCGCUCCCGUAAGAGGUAGCUGCUACUUAUCAAAGGUUCCAGCUCUCUAGAUGCUACAAACACGAAGUUAUUUCAAUAAUACAUAUCUAAACCAGACUGCAAGGCUAACAUCAAAAAAGUGAUACACUUAUGUGAGAUUUUGAAAAGUGAAAAAUCAAAGGUGGAAUUGACCAGUAGAUGUAAAAGUACAACAAAUAAACAAAAAUGGCAAUGUUGAAAGUGAAACUGAAAUUCAACAGAAAUAAAAGAAAUAGCAGACUGGGGGGAUAUUGACUUUGACACCAUGAUGCCAGAGGAACUUAGUGAUGGCAAACUUAUCAAUAUAAAAUGAGGAUAUUGGUUGUCAACUAGGUUGUGUGGUGGUCCUUGAUCUUGUCCAUCAAGUCCUUUUUCCCAAAGGAUAACUGAAGAAGAUCACAUACAUUCCAACUUAUUGAGUCUGAUAGGUAUUCAUCUGAUGAGCUCCUCUUCAACUGAGGAUUGAAAUGCUGUUUUUCUUCCCUGGUACAAUGUUAAAGCUUUAAACUCUUGUCAAUGAUGUGAUGUUUCAUCUGCAAUGAUCUACACUAGAAAAAUAAAAAUGUAGUUACUGACAAAAAAGCAGUACUCCAGGCAGAUUUAUAAAGGAAGCUGCUGGAAGGAAUUCAUUCCCUUUUUGCUGUUCUGCCUUCCACCUUCCACUGUGUGAGGACACUGCAAGAAAGCCCUCAUCAGACACCAACUGCCAGCACCUAGAUCUUGGAAUUCUCAGCCUCCAGAACUGUGAGAAACACGUUUCUGUUUUUCUAUAAAAUAAUAAUAAUAAAAAACUUCCAUGCAGGAAAAAAAAUCAAGUUCAAAGGUCCUGUGGUGAGGGCAUACCAGCUUUGUUUGAGAAGCAGUAAUCAUGCCUGUGUGACUGUAAUGAAAGAAUAAAAGAGAAAUGAGCACAGAAGAAUAUAAUGUAGUCCUUUUCAUUUUAAGCAAGAAAUUUGGCUUCAAUUCUAAAUGUGAUAAGAAAAAAACAGAAGGUUCCAAACUGAGAAGUGACAUAAUAUGAAAUGUUUUAACAGAAUCACCUUGUUACCAUAUUGCAAAUAAAAUGAAAGUGCAUCAAGGGCAGAAGUAGGAAGGCAAGUUAUGAGGUCAUUUUGAUAAUCCAGAGGAGCUGGGAUGAUGACUUACAGCAGUAUAGUAGCAAGGGUUGGGUGAGAACGUGGAAUCCUGGGUAUAUAUUAAAGUUUCAGCAAAAAGGAUUUAUAGAUGAAACAGAUAUGGGUUAUGAGAAAGAGUCAAGUUAAAGAUUAUAUCAAAAUUUUUUAUCUGAACAACUGGUAGUAUUGUGGUGAAUCCUUACCCCAUCAAUUUACGUGACCGAUAACUGAGUGGGAACAUUAAGGAAGGGAUGGUUUGAGUGAGAAUCAGGAUCUCAGUUUGGAAAUAUUAAGUUGAAUAUGCCUAUUUAAUAAUCAAAUGAAAAAUAGUAUUUUUGUAAUUUUCAGUAUUUAUUUGGCAAGAGAUUAAAUAAUCUAUAGCAUUGUUACUACUUUCUCUUUUUCAUAAAAGUUAUUUUGGUAUAAAAUCAACCUGACUGGGAACUAUCCAAAUAUAUAAGCCUUUAGCUUUGACCUAUUACUUAUAUUUUUUUGCCAUUAAUAAUAUGAACAUCCACUAAACAAGAACUUGAGACUAUAACUCUUCUCUAUUAAAUCUUCAUAUUAAAUUAGCCAUUUAAAUAGGAUUAUUAUUUUCAUUUAUUGCUGAAUACUUUCCAUUACAUUCAAACUUAUUGAGACAUCCUUAAAUUUUGUAAUUUAUUUAACGGAUUAAUUCCUUAGCUUCUAAACUGGUUUUCUGUACGGCAACCCUAUUUUCUUCUUAAUAACUCAUCAUCUACAUCCCCCAAUGUCUUAUUUUUCCAAAACAAAAGUGCACUAAUGCCCUUCUAGGGCAAAAAUUUCUUUAAUGGCUUUCUAUUGUUAUAGAUAAAGUUCAAACUUAUUAUGACGGCCUAUAAUUUUGGGGAAAAAACUCACCUAAAAACAGUUUUUAAAAGAUUAGAAUUCAAAUGCUUGAAAUUUCAGUUAUUUUAUGAGCUUUCUAUUCAAACAUUUCAGGGAGCUAAGACAUUACAUACUACACUACUACUACUACUACAAAUAAUAAUAAUAACAACAAUUAUAGUUACUCAUCUCAGUUUUGGCAGAGGAUACCAUUUAUAUAAAGAAUGUAAUUUGAUUGUAGCUAUUAAAAUAGUUACUAGACAAGAACUAGGAUGAUGGUAACAUUGACUUUUUAUCUGAAUCCUGGCUAUAUGUUUUCUGUUUGAAAAAAAAGUCAUUAAGUAUAAAAUUAUAAUUUUUAUAAUUUUGGAAUACAUAUUAUAAUAACACAUUUUUUUUAAACUGAGAAUUUAAGAUUUAAAAAGUACAGUAGGGGAAAGAAAAGGAAAAUAUAUUUUCUAUGUGCUUGUUUUAAUAAAUAAUGCCACCGAGGAUGUAAGUUUUCAAUGUCUAAUUAUUAAAUCAGCAUUACUUUCAUUAUUUUAACAACCUUCAUGGGGUUCUUAUAUUGAGACUCAAAUUAAAUAUGUAAUAUUAAUCCUAAUAUAGCUAUUUUUUCCUAACAAGAGCAUAAAACUUCCAAAAUUUCAUUCUGCAUAUUUAUAACUGAAUUUAUGACUGACAUAUUUCUUUUUCAAAUCAUGUCCAUCAUUAUAUGAACGGGUACUGAAUUUAUCCAUAUUUACUUACGUCUUUCUUCAGCCCCUCUGUCAACCCACUUAUCUUUUUGAUAGCUCAGUGAGCUGGCACUAGUUUUGUACCUCAGGAUGUUUACUCUGGCUAAUUUUGCCACUGAUCUUCUAAUGUCUGGUGCUUGGCAAUAAAGUCCCAGUUGGAGUUUUCAACCAACAGCAGUUUGCAUUCAGUUACUUAAUCUCUGUUUUGCAAUCUUAGUACCUUCCUUUCUGAUUGAAUGAAGACAGUUGCUCCUAGGGAUACCUGAACCUGAAAUGAACUGAAAAUAUUUUAUAGCUUUUCAAUUUGCCAGGCAGUAGAAGAAAAAUUCAUACCAAUCCCAUUGCUACAAACAGCUGUUACUAUAAGGUGAUAUUGCUAUGGAAUCCUAAAAUAGAACAAGGCAAAUACCAUCCCUGUGAGGGUUCUACUAUAUUUUGUGGAUCUCCAGCUGGAAACUUAAUUGUAAUAUAAACUGAGCAUACAGAAACAGCUUUCCUGCUUCUAUUCAGCAUACUUUCACUGAAUUGGAUAAUUUAAUCAAUAAGUUACAACACUCUUUAGUGUGAAGCUGCAUAAAAUUCUAGAAGGAGAGAAAAUUUGAUCUUUGAUUUCUAUUAUCUUUAUCUUCCUGCAUUAUAUUCUUCCAUGACUUUAGCUAAUACCUCUCCCCAUCACAAUAAAGUCUUUAAACACUUAGAAUCUAUUUUCUGUUUCUUGUGUCCAUAUCCUAUAACCAAAGACCACCAGGAACACCCCUGAGUUUAUUCUUGUUUACAGCAAUAAAUACUUCACACAAUGGGGAAAUGUGAAGUUAUCUCAGUAAGAGAGUAUUAAAAGAACCUAUUGUAUCAUUUGGGAUUUGGUUAUUUGGGGAAGAAAUUAAGGAAGCAAGACUGCCCUGGAUUGUCUGUUACCAGGAAGUGGGAGCAAUUUUAUGAUUAGGUAUGUCACCAAAUCUUAUCUAUAUGGAUGACAUACUAGAGUGAGGCUAAUGUAAUUGAGGAUAAGGUAACUGCUAAAGAAACAACAGUCACUUGUAUCUGGUAUGUUGUGAUUUGGACAACGUUCCUGUUUUGUUUAUGCUCAGAUAAAAUUAAGGAUUGUUGUUGUUUUUGUCAUUGUCCAUCA